rnacentral:lncRNA from 1 species
AUGUAGGCUCACGCCUGUAAUCCCAACACUUUGGGAGGGCGAGAUGGGCAGAGCACAAGGUCAGGAGAUCGAGACCAGCCUGACCAACAUGGUGAAACCCUGUCUCUACUAAAAAUACAAAAAUUAGCCAGGCGUGGUGGCGCACGCCUGUAAUCCCAGCUAGUUGAAAGGCUGAGGCAGGAGAAUCGCCUGAACCUAGGAGGCGGAGGUUGCAGUGAGCUGAGAUCGUGCCAUUGCGCCACUGCACUCCAGCCUGGGUGACAGAGCAAGACUCUGCCUCCAAAAAAAAAAAAGUAACUUAACAUACGUAAUGAAAAUUAUUUUCCAAAUGCGAGUUGAAUUUGUAAUGUCUUCUUUCAGGAUCCACAAACUGCUGGGAUUACAGGCGUGAGCCACCGCGCCUGGCCAGGGACUAUACUCUUUUUAAAAUAGACAUUUGUGGGGCUCACAUAAAAAGUGGAUUUAAAUUAACAUUUUUUUCUUUUUCUCUUGCCACAGUUGAAGAAGAUGAAUCUGGAAAUAGAUAACCAUUUUUACCAAAAUUGUAUAGAAGUCUUUAAAGAGGGGAGGAACAAGAAUAUAAACAUAAUAAAUAUCUGAUAAAGGACUUAUACCCAGAAUAUAUAAAGAAAUAAAAAAUGCAGAGAUCUUAAUAAAUAGAUAAAAGAAUUAACAGAUGCCUCAAAAAAUGGCCAAUUAUAUGAAAAAGUUGCUCAGCUUCAAGUCAUCAGGGAAAUGCAAAUUAAUACAAUAUGAUACCUCUUCAUACCCACUAGAAUGGCUAAAAUGGGAAGGACAGAAUACCAAGUACUGGUGAAGAUGUGGAACAACAGGAACUGUCAUACAUUUUUGGUAAGAGUGUAAAUUUGUACAACCACUUUAGAGAACUAUUCUGACAGAAUCUACAAAAUUGAAUUAGGAAUAACUAAUGACUCACGAAUCCCAUUCUGAGGUCUAUAGCCAACAGAAAUGCAUACAUAUAUGUUCACCAAAAGACAUGUACCAAAAUGUUCAUAGCAGCAGGCAGCACUAUUUGUAAAAGCCCCAAACUGGGA